AGCAUAGAUCAGCAGAGUAACUGUGCUGGACAACAUAGUCCAAUGUUCUGCUUCUGACAUCAGCUAGCACUAGCUUUAAAAUCAGUUCUUCAGGUUCCACAGCAAGUUAUUGGCAAGUGAAUGGAGGAUUUAUCCUGCUUCUGAAUUUCAAUAUGUUGAGUCUUUAAUGUGAAUCAAUCACUGAAUGUGUCAGCUCAGAAUGAGGCAAAAUGGAUUUGUUAAC
rnacentral:lncRNA from 1 species